AUGUAUGUAUUACAAUUAUACACUUCAACAGGGUUUACCAAUCUUGGAAAUAGGGUGCAGGCCAGGCAGCAGGCUGUUAGCCAGCCUGCCAGCAUAGUGGAGUCUGCCACUAGCACAGUCAGUGUAGUCAGCUCAGCUAUCACCAUUGAGACCGUGUCUGUGCCUCGACCUAGGUUGGGCAAAACUAAACAUGGCGGUGUUCGCCUUAGCAAUCUCACUAGGAUAAAGACCACCUCCAUUCCUGUCAUUAUUGAAAGAGAUCAUGAUACCUCACAUCUCAAAAUAGGGCUACUUAAUGUUAGAUCCCUUACUUCAAAGGCAAUUAUAGUCAAUGAACUAAUCACUGAUCAUAAUCUUGAUGUGAUUGGCCUGACUGAAACAUGGCUUAAGCCUGAUGAAUUUACUGUGUUAAAUGAGGCCUCACCUCCUGGCUACACUAGUGACCAUAUCCCCCGUGCAUCUCGCAAAGGCGGAGGUGUUGCUAACAUUUACGAUAGCAAAUUUCAAUUUACAAAAAAAAAAANNNNNNNNNNAAAUAGGGUGCAGGCCAGGCAGCAGGCUGUUAGCCAGCCUGCCAGCAUAGUGGAGUCUGCCACUAGCACAGUCAGUGUAGUCAGCUCAGCUAUCACCAUUGAGACCGUGUCUGUGCCUCGACCUAGGUUGGGCAAAACUAAACAUGGCGGUGUUCGCCUUAGCAAUCUCACUAGGAUAAAGACCACCUCCAUUCCUGUCAUUAUUGAAAGAGAUCAUGAUACCUCACAUCUCAAAAUAGGGCUACUUAAUGUUAGAUCCCUUACUUCAAAGGCAAUUAUAGUCAAUGAACUAAUCACUGAUCAUAAUCUUGAUGUGAUUGGCCUGACUGAAACAUGGCUUAAGCCUGAUGAAUUUACUGUGUUAAAUGAGGCCUCACCUCCUGGCUACACUAGUGACCAUAUCCCCCGUGCAUCUCGCAAAGGCGGAGGUGUUGCUAACAUUUACGAUAGCAAAUUUCAAUUUACAAAAAAAAAAAAGACGUUUUCGUCUUUUGAGCUUCUAGUCAUGAAAUCUAUGCAGCCUACUCAAUCACUUUUUAUAGCUACUGUUUACAGGCCUCCUGGGCCAUAUACAGCGUUCCUCAUUGAGUUCCCCGAAUUCCUAUCGGACCUUGUAGUCAUAGCAGAUAAUAUUCUAAUCUUUGGUGACUUUAAUAUUCACAUGGAAAAGUCCACAGACCCACUCCAAAAGGCUUUCGGAGCCAUCAUCAACUCAGUGGGUUUUGUCCAACAUGUCUCUGGACCAACUCACUGUCACAGUCAUACGCUGGACCUAGUUUUGUCCCAUGGAAUAAAUGUUGUGGAUCUUAAUGUUUUUCCUCAUAAUCCUGGACUAUUGGACCACCAUUUUAUUACGUUUGCAAUUGCAACAAAUAAUCUGCUCAGACCCCAACCAAGGAACAUCAAAAGUCGUGCUAUAAAUUCACAGACAACACAAAGAUUCCUUGAUGUCCUUCCAGAUUCCCUCUGUCUACCCAAGGACGCCAGAGGACAAAAAUCAGUUAACCACCUAACUGAGGAACUCAAUUUAACCUUGCGCAAUACCCUAGAUGCAGUUGCACCCCUAAAAAUUAAAAACAUUUCUCAUAAGAAACUAGCUCCCUGGUACACAGAAAAUACCCGAGCUCUGAAGCAAGCUUCCAGAAAAUUGGAACGGAAAUGGCGCCACAUCAAACUGGAAGUCUUCCGACUAGCUUGGAAAGACAGUACUGUGCAGUACUGA
rnacentral:lncRNA from 13 species